rnacentral:lncRNA from 1 species
UGCCCAGGUUCAAGUGACUGACUGCAGAAAGAAGAGCCAUUUCGUGGAUUCAAAAAACCUAUGGCAUCAAGUCGAACAACACUAACCUUCGAUCUCUGAAAAUUUAAGGUGUUCAUGCCCCAGGGCAGUGUACCACAGUAAGACUGGCAAAAGGUGAAAGCUUUCGAAGAGGAGCUGGCUUGCCAGGUGGUUAUCAUUUUUUCUAAACUCU